rnacentral:rRNA from 1 species
GAUGAACGCUGGCGGCGUGCCUAAUACAUGCAAGUCGAGCGAAUGGAUUGAGAGCUUGCUCUUAUGAAGUUAGCGGCGGACGGGUGAGUAACACGUGGGUAACCCGCCCAUAAGACUGGGAUAACUCCGGGAAACCGGGGCUAAUAUCGGAUAACAUUUUGAACCGCAUGGUUCGAAAUUGAAAGGCGGCUUCGGCUGUCACUUAUGGAUGGACCCGCGUCGCAUUAGCUAGUUGGUGAGGUAACGGCUCACCAAGGCAACGAUGCGUAGCCGACCUGAGAGGGUGAUCGGCCACACUGGGACUGAGACACGGCCCAGACUCCUACGGGAGGCAGCAGUAGGGAAUCUUCCGCAAUGGACGAAAGUCUGACGGAGCAACGCCGCGUGAGUGAUGAAGGCUUUCGGGUCGUAAAACUCUGUUGUUAGGGAAGAACAAGUGCUAGUUGAAUAAGCUGGCACCUUGACGGUACCUAACCAGAAAGCCACGGCUAACUACGUGCCAGCAGCCGCCGUAA